rnacentral:rRNA from 1 species
CAGUAGCCGCGGGAAUACGUAGGGUGCAAGCGUUAAUCGGAAUUACUGGGCGUAAAGCGUGCGCAGGCGGUUCUAUAAAACAGAUGUGAAAUCCCCGGGCUCAACCUGGGAACUGCAUUUGUGACUGUAGAGCUGGAGUGCGGCAGAGGGGGAUGGAAUUCCGCGUGUAGCAGUGAAAUGCGUAGAUAUGCGGAGGAACACCGAUGGCGAAGGCAAUCCCCUGGGCCUGCACUGACGCUCAUGCACGAAAGCGUGGGGAGCAAACAGGAUUAGAUACCCCGGUAGUCCCUGUCUCUUAUAC